rnacentral:misc_RNA from 1 species
GAUGAAGAACGUAGCGAAAUGCGAUACUUGGUGUGAAUUGCAGAAUCCCGUGAACCAUCGAGUCUUUGAACGCAAGUUGCGCCCGAAGCCAUUAGGCCGAGGGCACGCCUGCCUGGGCGUCACACGUCGUUGCCCCCCCAUCUACUCCUUCGGGAUUGCGGGGGGCGGAUGAUGGCCUCCCGUGCGCCUCGCCGCGCGGUUGGCAUAAAUGCCAAGUCCUCGGCGACGCACGCCACGUCAAUCGGUGGUUGCGAAACCUCGGUUGCCCGUCGUGUGCGGUCGUCGCGCAUCGAGGGCUCGAAAAAAUUGCCGGGUUCCGGCUCGGCUUUCAACGCGACCCCAGGUCAGGCGGGGUUACCCGCUGAAUUUAAGCAUAUCAAUAAGCGGAGGA